rnacentral:rRNA from 1 species
GACGAACGCUGGCGGCGUGCUUAACACAUGCAAGUCGAACGGAAAGGCCUCUUUCGGGGGGUACUCGAGUGGCGAACGGGUGAGUAACACGUGAGUAACCUGCCCUUGACUUUGGGAUAACUUCAGGAAACUGGGGCUAAUACCGGAUAGGAGCUCCUGCUGCAUGGUGGGGGUUGGAAAGUUUCGGCGGUUGGGGAUGGACUCGCGGCUUAUCAGCUUGUUGGUGGGGUAGUGGCUUACCAAGGCUUUGACGGGUAGCCGGCCUGAGAGGGUGACCGGCCACAUUGGGACUGAGAUACGGCCCAGACGCCGACGGGAGGCAGCAGGGGGGGAUAUUGCACAAUGGGUGGAAGCCGGAUGCAGCAACGCCGGGUGCGGGAGGACGGCCUUCGGGUUGUAAACCGCUUUCGCUCAUGACGAAGCUUUGUGUGACGGUAGUGGGUAAAGAAGCACCGGCUAACUACGUG